rnacentral:rRNA from 1 species
UACGUAGGGUGCAAGCGUUAAUCGGAAUUACUGGGCGUAAAGCGUGCGCAGGCGGUUCUAUAAGACAGAUGUGAAGUCCCCGGGCUCAACCUGGGAACUGCAUUUGUGACUGUAGAGCUGGAGUACGGCAGAGGGGGAUGGAAUUCCGCGUGUAGCAGUGAAAUGCGUAGAUAUGCGGAGGAACACCGAUGGCGAAGGCAAUCCCCUGGGCCUGUACUGACGCUCAUGCACGAAAGCGUGGGGAGCAAACAGG